rnacentral:piRNA from 1 species
ACAGUCAGUUACAGAUUGAACUC